UACGAAGGGGGCUAGCGUUGCUCGGAAUCACUGGGCGUAAAGGGUGCGUAGGCCGCGCGGUAAGUCAGGUGUGAAAGCCCGGAGCUCAACUCCGGAACUGCACCCGAUACUGCCGCGCUUGAGGACUGGAGAGGAGUCUGGAAUUCACAGUGGAGCAGUGAAAUGCGUAGAUAUUGUGAGGAACACUAGUGGCGAAGGCGAGACUCUGGACAAUUCCUGACACUGAUGCACGAAGGCCGGGGGAGCGAACAGG
rnacentral:rRNA from 1 species